AUUGAACGCUGGCGGCAGGCCUAACACAUGCAAGUCGAGCGGAUGAAGGGGGCUUGCUCCUGGAUGCAGCGGCGGACGGGCGAGUAAUGCCCAGGAAUCUGCCUGGUCUUGGGGGAUAACGUCCGGAAACGGGCGCUAAUCUCGCAUACGUCCUGAGUGAGAACGUGGGGGAUCUUCGGUCCACACGCUUCCUGAUGAGCCUAGGUGGGAUUAGCUAGUUGGUGGGGUAAAGGCCUACCAAGGCGACGAUCCGUAACUGGUCUGAGAGGAUGAUCAGUCACACUGGAACUGAGACACGGUCCAGACUCCUACGGGAGGCAGCAGUAGGGAAUAUUGGGCAAUGGGCGAAAGCCUGAUCGAGCAAUGCCGCGUGAGUGAAGAAGGUCUUCGGAUUGUAAAGCGCUGUAAGUUGGGAGGAAGGGAAGUAAGUUUAUACGUGACUGUUUUGACGGUACCAACAGAAUAAGCACCGGCUAACUUCGUG
rnacentral:rRNA from 1 species